rnacentral:rRNA from 1 species
AUAUUGCGCAAUGGGCGAAAGCCUGACGCAGCAACGCCGCGUGAGGGAUGACGGCCUUCGGGUUGUAAACCUCUUUCAGCAGGGAAGAAGCGAAAGUGACGGUACCUGCAGAAGAAGCACCGGCUAACUACGUUCCAGCAGCCGCGGUAAUACGUAGGGUGCAAGCGUUGUCCGGAUUUAUUGGGCGUAAAGAGCUCGUAGGCGGUCAGUCACGUCGGAUGUGAAAACCCGGAGCUUAACUCCGGGCCUGCAUUCGAUACGGGCUGACUAGAGUGUUGUAGGGGAGACUGGAACUCCUGGUGUAGCGGUGAAAUGCGCAGAUAUCAGGAAGAACACCGGUGGCGAAGGCGGGUCUCUGGGCAACUACUGACGCUGAGGAGCGAAAGCGUGGGGAGCAAACAGG